rnacentral:rRNA from 1 species
UACAGGGGCCCCGAGCAUUACCCGGAAUUACUGGGCGUAAAGGGUGUGUAGGUGGUCAUAUUAGUCGUUUGUUAAAUCCCCCGGCUCAACCGGGGAAAUGCGGGCGAAACGGUAUGACUUGAGAGUGUGAGAGGUACAGGGAACUCUAGGUGUAGGGGUGAAAUCCGUUGAUAUCUAGGGGAACACCGAAAGCGAAGGCACUGUACUGGCGCAUUUCUGACACUGAGACACGAAAGCGUGGGUAGCGAACGGG